AACGCACAUUGCGCCCUCUGGUAUUCCGGAGGGCAUGCCUGUCCGAGCGUCAUUGCUGCCCUCCAGCCCGGCUGGUGUGUUGGGCCCCGCCCCCCUUCCCGGGGGGGCGGGCCCGAAAGGCAGCGGCGGCACCGCGUCCGGUCCUCGAGCGUAUGGGGCUUUGUCACCCGCUCUUGCAGGCCCGGCCGGCGCCAGCCGACCCCCUCAAUCUAUUUUUUCAGGUUGACCUCGGAUCAGGUAGGGAUACCCGCUGAACUUAA
rnacentral:misc_RNA from 1 species